AAUUUUUUCACUGGGAGGAAGGAGAAUUUAGUGCAUCUUUUUGGGAAUCCAGGCUUUGAGCUGAUUCGUCACGAUGUGGUUGAGCCUAUAUUAUUGGAAGUCGAUCAGAUCUAUCACUUGGCAUGCCCUGCGUCUCCUGUUCAUUAUAAGUACAAUCCAGUCAAGACUAUCAAGACGAAUGUGAUGGGUACGCUUAACAU
rnacentral:misc_RNA from 1 species